AGAGUUUGAUCCUGGCUCAGAUUGAACGCUGGCGGCAGGCCUAACACAUGCAAGUCGAGCGGUAGCACAGAGAGCUUGCUCUCGGGUGACGAGCGGCGGACGGGUGAGUAAUGUCUGGGAAACUGCCUGAUGGAGGGGGAUAACUACUGGAAACGGUAGCUAAUACCGCAUAACGUCGCAAGACCAAAGUGGGGGACCUUCGGGCCUCAUGCCAUCAGAUGUGCCCAGAUGGGAUUAGCUAGUAGGUGGGGUAACGGCUCACCUAGGCGACGAUCCCUAGCUGGUCUGAGAGGAUGACCAGCCACACUGGAACUGAGACACGGUCCAGACUCCUACGGGAGGCAGCAGUGGGGAAUAUUGCACAAUGGGCGCAAGCCUGAUGCAGCCAUGCCGCGUGUGUGAAGAAGGCCUUCGGGUUGUAAAGCACUUUCAGCGGGGAGGAAGGCG
rnacentral:rRNA from 1 species